GAAACAGUGAACUAAAAAGAUGAGACAACAAUUCCUACCAAAAAUUCAUUCUACAAGUCAUUCAAUUGUGAACGUUCUCUCAGGAUACCCCAAAUAAGAAAUGCAACAUACUGUAUCUUACUUGAGUGUUUCAUCUCUUACCCAGUGUGCAAUAGUAUUCUAAAUUGUCUCCCUACAAAUUAUACUCCACAGCCAUACUAAAAUUUCCCAAGGGUUCUCUGCUAUUUCUUAUUUCUCUGCCUUAGCUCACCCUUUGCCUACCUCGUCCUCAUCUUCCUCAGAGUCAACACAAUCAUCUUCUCCAUGAAGCCUUUCCUAACUUCCCACUGUCCUCAGGAAGAAGUGACUAUUCCCUCCGGUGUACUCCUCUAUGCCCUGUACAAUCACAACAGGUGCAAUCUUUAUUGCAAUUACUGUUUAAAUAUAUUUCCUUCUGCUAGAUUCAAGUUCCUUUUUUUUAGACAGAGUCUCAUUCGGUCACCCAGGCUGGAGUGCAGUGGUGAGAUCUUGGCUCACUGCAACCUCCACCUCCUGGGUUCAAGUGAUUCUCCUGCCUCAGCCUCCCAAAUAGCUGGGAUUAUAGACAUGUG
rnacentral:lncRNA from 1 species